UAGUCCGUCCAAACUGCAAACAGGUACCAAAAGGAGAGCGUGUAUGUGUGUGUGAGAGAGAGAGAGAUAGGAGGGAUCUUUCCCCGCCCCUUGUCUCCCACAGUCUCUCCCUCUCCUGGAGACUGGCUCAGCCACUGCCUGAAGGAUUUCAGCUGAAGAGCGGAGCCGCUGCUGCGGGCUGGCGUGAGAAUGUGACUCAUUCACACCGAUACUCGGUCUCCCUCUCCCUCACUCACUCUCUCCCUCCCUCUCUGUCUCGGAAACGUCAAGAUGUUACUCUGCAAUAUGUUCCAACUGAUAAAGCUGUUAGUAAUGUUGAUGUGUUGGUUGGAGUGACACAUGUUUCUCAUCAAUAGCUGCAGGAAUAUUUUAAAUGAGAAGUGUCAUGCCAGUUUCUUCAACUGAGAUACUGAAAGUGCUGCACCAAAUAUGUUAAGUACUGGAGCCAAUCUGUUGAAUCAAGUUGAGAAACCAACCCGACAUAAAUAAAUUUUUCAGUAAUAAGAAUUUCAA